UUUUUUUUGUUGUUGUUGCUCACAGUUACUAACUUUUUUUUAUAUCUCAUUAGCUCGGAUGCGAUGACGCAGGAUAUGGACCUCCCUCUCAUAUGUUAGGGUUAGGUUGCUUUUAAAGUCACCAUGAAACCAAACGGGACCAUUCUUAUUAUUUUGUAAGGAAUAUUGCAGUAUUUAUCAUAAAUGAUUUAUCCGUGUACAUCAUUAUUUCUUUAAUUCUGUCCCUCCCUAAUCUUUAAUCAAAUACGUCCCCUCCCUCUUACAACUCUGAUGAUGUGUUUACUAGCAUGAGGGCGGGGCAACCUGUCACUCACAUGAGAUCAACCAAUAGCAAACCAGCAGUCAUCUAAUCAAUUCCUGAUGAACAAAAUCAGGUCCCACCCUAUAUUUUUUCUUGUUUCACACAGAUAUAUGUCACAGUAGGGAGGAAAAAUCUUUAAAAUGUAAGAUGUUUGAUAAAAGUACAUAUAUUUUUUUACAUGUUUAAUUGUUUUAACAAGUUAGAUUACAAGUUAAAGUGCAUAUUUUUCACCUGUCUACAAAUAGACUCGCUUUCACAAAAAACAGAUGUUGCAUCUGUUUCAAGAGAACCACAGAUUAGUGUGGGAAAAAGCACAGGAAGCGACGACGGCUAAUUACACGGAGAUAAGGAGUAUCUCAUUUCCAGAGGAAAUGUGUGGAGGCUGUUUGUGAAGGGAUCUGUGCAUUCACACAAAGACAAAAGAAAAAAGUAUUAAACCAAUAUGACUGCUGUGUCUUUCAUGCAUUGUAACAGUGCUUUUUGUUUGUUAACUCUGCCAUAUACAUAAAUAUACAAAAGCAUAGUAAACUAAGUCUCCACUAAAACCGAGUUAAUGAUGAGAAAGAUGACUAUUUGCCCUCUUAAAUGGUAGUUCAUGGGAGUUAGGAUCUGGAGGUCAAAGGUUGAGGGCCUGCAAAUCUUGACACCAUCAAGACAAAUGAUGCCUCCAUUCAGCCAUCCAACUACAUGAAAGAGGCACUUGUAUGAGAGGAAAGCAGUUGUGGAUCAGGACUCACCUACGGCUUCCGCGUCAUAAUACUUGGAAUACAGGAUUGUUAAAUCACAAUAGAAGGAAAAGUUACCUUUUUUUUUUUUUUACCAUGAUUUUUUUUUUAAUCAUUUAGAAAACUAAAACAGUUUCUGGGAUCAAAUGCCUUGUUUAAGUGACUUUGACUCUGUUUCAGAUCUUAGCGUGCUGCCUGUAUAGGAAGCAUUGCAGACACACUAUCAAAUUAUGCCUUCUAAGAUGCCUUAUUUUGUCUAAAUUAUACGGCAGCAUUACAUAUAUCUUUCCUAGACACGGUAAUCCCAGAAUGCAUAAUAAAUAUUCCAUAUAUUUCAUUUAGUGCUAAAAAAGUAUCAACAAAAAUGGUUCAGUCUUUUUAAAACUUUAGAUGCUAUUAUUUUGAUGUUAAUUAGACUAUUGUGUUGUUAGCAUAGCAACAUGCUAAUGUCAAACUCUGUUGGAAUAAGUGGUAAUUCGAGUCUCCUGUGCGAGUCAGAGAUGCUCCCUAUGAAGUGUUACUAACAAGGUUUAAUGAUAAUUAGGAUGCUUUAUAAAGGCACGUUCACAACAAGAACGAUAAAUAUAAUGCUGACUAUAUGCUAUACUAACUAAUGUAUGAUAAAUGUUUAUAAUAAGCACACUGCAGUUUUUUCAUCUGCCUUUUACAAAAUGUAAUAUAAGUCUCUGGUGUCCCCAGAAUGUGUCUGUGAAGUUUCAGCUCAAAAUACCCCACAGAUCAUUUAUUAUAGCUUGUCAAAUUUGCCCCUAUUUGGGUGUGAGCAAAAACACACCGUUUUUGUGUGUGUCCCUUUAAAUGCAAAUGAGCUGCUGCUCCUGGCCUGCUUUCCAGAAGAGGGCGGAGCUUCAACAGCUUGCACUUCGGCUGCUCAACAACAACAAAGCCGGAGAAUCUCAUGCAGCCAAAAUAACGAUUGUCAGUAACGGUGUUCAUCCUUGCACUGUUCAAACCGGAGUCGGACACUGAUGGAGAGACUCAGGAAGUAGUUACAACUUUUAGAAUGCAUCUGGACGUUUCUGAAUGGUUAGAGGAUAAAUUUAUGUAGCUGCUGUGUAGUUGAUUCAACUCAUUGACUAGCAUGUGCUGUCAUGUUAAUCUUUUGUGCAAAUCCAGCAUUGAGUUGACUCGUUUGUAAAGCAGUCCGGCGUAAAAUGAAGCAGCUCUUCUCUAAAGCAGCCCAACAUGGCCUCACUCCCUUUGUUGCAUGUUCUCGGGGGCGGGGUUUAUGUAAAUUUUAGGGUUAUUGAUGUCACUAACCUGGGAAGAAGCUUGUUGUAGUCCCUACCAGCCCUUUGUUGUAGUCCUUAAACAGCGAAUUCUUUAAAAGAAAAUAUCUCCCUUUGCAUUGAACUUUGAGCGUUGUAACUUUGUAGAUGCUGUUUAUGCUCAAACAGCAACAUUACACACUAACUAAAGUUAAAAAAGUGAAAUCAUAAUCAACCACCCCUUUAAAAUUGUGUGGAUUUUGAAUGGCUGUAAAUGUUUUAUCAUUCAUCAGCUGGAAAAAAAAUCAUUCUGAAAGUGAUUAAAAUGAUAUUGUUCCUCUGUGUCAUUAUCGUUAUGGUGUGGACUUCCCUAUUCUCAUAGAAUCAGAACGAUUAUUAAAACUUGAUGUGAAUGUACCUUAAUAAGUGUAUAUCCUAUGUAGACAGUCACAUUUUAGAGCAGAGUUAACAAUAGGACACCUUUUAUAGACUGAUACUUAAACUGUGAAACAGGAACUUCUUAAUGUCAUUAGCUUAGCAGCACGCUAACAUCAAACUCUAUUGUAAUCAAUGGAAAGUAAGAUCUGUGUAGGACAUAUGAAGAGUAAUAUUUGCAUGGUGCAUGUUUUUUUGCCACAUAUAAGGUUCCAUGAUGGUUGGGAUGCUGCCUCAUAAGUGCUAGCAGUAGGGUUAAAGUUAAAGACUUUAAACAGCCUUAAAGCAACACCAAACCUGACAGUUUGCAUGUCCAAGCAAUAUCUAUUUUAGUGUUCCCUGACCUUUGACACAAUCCCUGACAUGUUUGACAGUAACUGGAUACAGUUUGAACUCACUUGAACUGUAGCAGCUUUUUGAGGUUACUUCUGUGCAGAACAUGUUCAGUACAUAUAAAGAAUCAGGGUAAUGUUUCACUGAACAUCUAAAUCUGUUUCCCGUAAAACAACUUAACCACCGUAGUAUGCAUCAUUGAAGAAAUUGUUUUCCAAAACCAUAGUGACAUGGCACAUGCGCACUCUUCAAAAACGGUGCUGUUUUUUAACACGCUAAAAUAUAUGUAUUUAAAUGGGAAAAAGUUAUAGAAUGUACUGCAUGUUACCUUGCUUAUUUUGCCCAAGAGCAAGUCCACACCAUUUUAACACAAAACUAUGCUUCUGUUGCUCCAACCACACAAGUUUGCGAUGCUGUUUGCGAAUGUUCGUUGUAACUAUGGUUUCAGGAAAUCGUUGAACUAUGUUGGUAAUGACGAAACUUGCAUAUUUGGUUAACAAUGCCCCUUUACCCCAGAACGGUUCCAAUGGAUUGCACCAGUUUAGUUUGCAUGGCCUCGCUAAAAUGACAUUGACUUAGCUGGUGCCCCACUUCCUCUGCCCGGCCACUUCCUUUCCUGUCAGCCACAAGCUUACGGGAACAGCGUGACGUAAGACCAAACAGAGCAGUGCUAAAUGUUUUAGCAACUCAUUGCUUGAAUAUCAGUCAGUCAGCUGUAUAUCACAUACAGAUUCCUACCUCUGCUGUCUCACUCCUAACAGAAACAAUCAUCCAUCAUGUUCAGCCUCAGGCUGCUCAGAGACAAAUGCAGAAUCCACCCCUGCAAACCACAUUAGCACAUAGCAGCUUUACAUUGGAAUACGUUCACGAUCGUGUCUGAAGAGCGGCACUUGAUUUUAGUAAUUGGGGAUUGAUUGGGUCAUGAGUCAUUUGCUUGGGUUCAAGGGGUUGUUGACAUGAAAGGAAAAUAAUUUAAGAGGCAGAACAAGUUAUUAGAUUUUAAUGAAUAAUAAGGCCAGGAACAUGUAUUUAAAAAAAAAAAAAAAAAAAGUCAAUUGGCCAAAAUGAUUUCAUUUUGACUUUUUACUACACCGGUAUUCUAAAAGAGAUUGUUCACACAUGUACUCACCCUCACGUCACUCCAAACCUGUAUGACUUUCUUUCUUCUGCGUAAUACAAAGAAGAUAUUUUGACAAACUGUUUUUUGUCCACACAAUGAAAGUCAAUGGGGUCCAAAACAAAACAUUGGACCCCAUUCACUUUGACUGUAUGGAGAGAAAAACAAAACAAAACAUAAGCUGCGUCUGAAAUUGAAUACUUCCUUACUACAUAGUAUGCCAAAAACAGUACGCAAACAGCAUAGUAUGUCCGAACGCAUAGCAUUCGAAAAACAGUAGGCGAAAAGUACCUGAAUGACAUACUAGUUCCGCCGAUAUUCCCCAUUAGGCCACUGGAGAGGAUUUAUGAAUGGAAGUGAAGCAACGCAACUGACGCUGGUUGGUCACGUGACAGUAACAACAUGGCGGAUGUAGUACUUCCGAAUUUCAUUCAUACUACACAAAUUCAUACUAUAUAGAACAUACUUUUUUAAUGGUCAUGAAGUAAGUUCAAAUUCAAAUGUAGUACCUACUCAGUAUGCGAUUUCAGAUGCAGCGAUAAGACAUUUUUUCAAAAGUUUACCACACAAGUUUGCGAUGCUGUUUACGAAUGGUUAUUGGAACUAUGAUUUUGGGAAACAGAAUCGGUGAACUAUGUUGGUAACAACAGAACUUGCGACCAUAGUUUCUGCAAGGAAAAAAUUACAUUUAUUUAUUUAUUUUAUUUAUUUUUUGUUUGUUUGUUUUUUUUGUAUUUGGCACAUGUAAGUAUUGUCACAUUCUAAACUUGCAUAAUGAAUAAAAAAAAUGUAAUGAAAAGAUAUUUUGACUAACUGUUUUUGUCCACACAAUCAUUGAACCCCAUUGACUUUCACUAUAUGGACAAAAUAAAACAAAGAUUUUUUUUAAAUAUCUUCUUUGUUUUUAGAAGAAAGAAAGUCAUACACAUUUCAAACAACAUGAGGGUGAGUAAAUGACAACAAUUUUCAAUUUAGGUCUAUUUUUCUAAAACUGUUUUUCAUUCAUGAAAAUGUGCAAUAAUAUAUAAUGGGUUAAAUGGAUAGUACACCAAAAAGAAAAAAAAAAAGAAAAUUAUGUGAUUUACUUACCCUCAUGUUAUUUCGGACCUGUAUGAUUUUCUUUCUUCAGUGGAACAUAGAAGAAGAUAUUUUGAAGAAUGUUGGUAACCAAACAGUUUAGACAAAAAAAAAAAAAAAAAAAAAGAA